rnacentral:rRNA from 1 species
CUUAACACAUGCAAGUCGAACGAUGAUGCCCAGCUUGCUGGGUGGAUUAGUGGCGAACGGGUGAGUAACACGUGAGUAACCUGCCCUUGACUUCGGGAUAACUCCGGGAAACCGGGGCUAAUACCGGAUAUGAGCCGUCCUCGCAUGGGGGUGGUUGGAAAGUUUUUCGGUCAGGGAUGGGCUCGCGGCCUAUCAGCUUGUUGGUGGGGUGAUGGCCUACCAAGGCGACGACGGGUAGCCGGCCUGAGAGGGCGACCGGCCACACUGGGACUGAGACACGGCCCAGACUCCUACGGGAGGCAGCAGUGGGGAAUAUUGCACAAUGGGCGAAAGCCUGAUGCAGCGACGCCGCGUGAGGGAUGAAGGCCUUCGGGUUGUAAACCUCUUUCAGCAGGGAAGAAGCGCAAGUGACGGUACCUGCAGAAGAAGCGCCGGCUAACUACGUGCCAGCAGCCGCGGUAAUACGUAGGGCGCAAGCGUUGUCCGGAAUUAUUGGGCGUAAAGAGCUCGUAGGCGGUUUGUCGCGUCUGGUGUGAAAACUCGAGGCUCAACUUCGAGCUUGCAUCGGGUACGGGCAGACUAGAGUGCGGUAGGGGAGACUGGAAUUCCUGGUGUAGCGGUGGAAUGCGCAGAUAUCAGGAGGAACACCGAUGGCGAAGGCAGGUCUCUGGGCCGCAACUGACGCUGAGGAGCGAAAGCAUGGGGAGCGAACAGGAUUAGAUACCCUGGUAGUCCAUGCCGUAAACGUUGGGCACUAGGUGUGGGGCUCAUUCCACGAGUUCCGUGCCGCAGCAAACGCAUUAAGUGCCCCGCCUGGGGAGUACGGCCGCAAGGCUAAAACUCAAAGGAAUUGACGGGGGCCCGCACAAGCGGCGGAGCAUGCGGAUUAAUUCGAUGCAACGCGAAGAACCUUACCAAGGCUUGACAUGCACGAGAAGC